rnacentral:rRNA from 1 species
GGCUAACGCUGGCGGCGUGUCUUAGCCAUGCAAGUCGAGCGGACUUAUGGGGUAACUUAUAAGUCAGCGGCGGACGGCGGAGUAACACGUAGCUAACCUACCCUCUGGACGGGGAUAACCUACCGAAAGGUGGGCUAAUACCCGAUGUAGUCAUCCUGUAUAGGGGUGAUGAAAGGUGGGCUUCUGUUUACAAGCUCAUGCUGGAGGAGGGGGCUGCGGCCUAUCAGGUAGUUGGUAGGGUAAUAGCCUACCAAGCCGAUGACGGGUAGCCGGCCUGAGAGGGUGACCGGCCCGAGGGGCACUGAGAUACGGGUCCCACUCCUACGGGAGGCAGCAGGCUAGAAAUUUGGGCAAUGGGGAAACCCUGACCCAGUGACGCCGCGUGCAGGAAGGAGCCCUUCGGGGUGUAAACUGCUGUCGUGUAGGGAGAAGGGUACUAAGGUGAACAAUCUUAGUACUUGACGGUACUACAGGAGGAAGCCCAGGCUAACCUCGUGCCAGCAGCCGGGUAAUAUAGCGUACU